CCAAUAUACAUAUAAAAAUGUUCAUGUUCAUGACUAAUCAAAUAAAUACUAAUUAGAACAAAUACAAGGUAGACAUUUUAUUCACCCACUAAAAUGGGUGAAUGGGUAGCAAAAAUGGUGGUAAGAAUUUGAAAUUAUAAUCCUGAUCCAUUAAAAAAAAAAACGCAGAGUUCCUGUCGUGGCACAGCAGAAAUGAAUCCAGCUAGGAACCAUAAGUUUGCCAGUUCAAUCCCUGGCCUUGCUCAGUGGGUUAAGGAUCCAGCAUUGCCAGAAGCUGUGGUGUAGGUCGCAGACACAGCUCAGAUCUGGCAUUGCUGUGGCUCUGGCCUAGGCCGGCAGCAACAGCUCCAAUUAGACCCCUAGCCUGGGAGCCUCCAUGUACCAUGGGUGCAACCCUAUAAAGACAAAAUACCAAAAAAAAAAAAAAGCAUCAAGAUUAUAAUUUUUAAAACAAUUCACCAAUAUUUAAAAAAUGCAUAUACACUCCAUUAUUUCUGGACCCAAAUUGCCUCAUUUAAUGGGCAAACACCAGCAAACUGACAUUUCUUAUGCUCUCUAUUCCAGUUCAAAGGCAUAAAAUGAAACCCAGGCUGCUGCCAAAACAAAACUCCAUCCUGGUAAGGUUAUUUGAAUAAGAGAUCAUAUAUAAGCCCCUCUAUGAUCUCUACUUUCUAGCUUCUCUCUCUAAGCCGGUGUUCUGCAACCCCUCUUCCUCACUGUAAUUGUGAGAGGGUGUCUGGCACAGACUGCAAGGGGGUGGUGGCCCCCAUUCCCCACCUAACCCAUGGAGGUAGGCUGAGCAAACUCUUGUGGAGCUCCAGAUCCCUUGACCAAAAGGAGUCACCAGUCAAGGAGGAUCCUCCUUAUAAAAAAUGUAAGAACACCUGGAUUUCCAGAAGACAAUAUAUUAACCAAGCUGAAAUGGGGAAAAGGUGCUCCAGUCCUUUCAAUGUUGUCAUUAAGGAGACCAUUCAGAGACCACAUAUUUCUUCCUAGAUUAAAAUGUGCUGGAAGUCAAUGGCUGAAAAUUGUAGGGUCAGAUAUAGAACUGGUGGCAGAGGAAAAGUGGACUAAGGGAAAUGUGGUAUCCUCCAAAACUGAGUCCUAAACAGAAGAGUCUUCCCGAUGAGUAUAGCCAAGCCUGUCUUUGAAUAGCAGAAAAUCAACAUCUCAGCAUCCAAAAUAAUUACUCCUCAGGGGCAAGAAACACUUAGGGACAUUUCCCAGGAGCCAAGAAGUCAUCUGGGGUGAGAUUGGAAAUCUGUGUGAUAAGGACCAUGAGGAACAAAGACCAAGUCCUCAGAGUCUUUGAAUGUCCAUGCAGCUCAAUGACAAGCAUAAAAGCCGAUAGCAUGGCUGGAACUAUGAAAGAAACGAGGUUCAUGCUGAGGUCAUUUGUUGCAGCAAUAUAUUAGAAAGUCUUAGAGGUCAUCAAUAAAACCUCAUGGUACAAGAUGAGUCAAAUACAGUGACUUAAUUAUGUUAAUAAUAUUAGAAAAAAAAAUCAAUGUGGACUUAAUGAUGUUAAAAAGCAUUAUUUUUCCUACUAGAAGUAUCUCAACAGUAGUGUAGUUUUUUCCACCGCCUAUUCUCACAUAAACUCUUAAAUGUCCAGAUUUGGAUCUCUAAUAUUUUACUAGAUGAAAUUAGCACUCCUGGCUCACGUGUGUGCGCGCGCGCACACACACACACACACACACACACACACACACACUAGAAUGGGCUUUGAAUACCAUAUGUUACCAGAAAGCAGAGAUACAGAGGACUAUAUUGAAAAGACAAAAGAGCUAGCUUAGAGGUCUCCCACUGACCAAAUUGGUUAUUUAAACAUCAGAAAAGGGUAUAGUAAUUGUGAUUAUUUGAAAUAUGAUGAGUUUGCGAAAGGCCAUAACUUCAUAAUGAUGUUAAGAAAAAAGUUGAUAUGAAGUAUACCACAGGUAAUUAGGAUGAACAUAGAAGUUUGGCUAUAAAGGGACCUGUUUAAUUUUUUAUUAAUUUUAAUGAGAGGAGGUUAACAUAAAUUGGUAUUGGUGUUUCUUCUAUUAACUUUACUUGCUUUUAAAUGGAGAUGUGAAAUUCACACCUGUCUGCAUAAGUAGAAAAGGAGAAAUACAGAGAACUGUGAAUUACCAAAUUGCUUUGGGAAAAUAUACAGAACCAAGAACAGGAGGGACUUAUUGGCACCAGUGCUCACAGACAGUAACUAUGCAGAAAAGUUUCAAACUGUGUUCCAGUAUGACUCAAAAAGGCCAAAUGUCUUGAAAAAGAGUGCUCAUUGCACAGCCUCAAUGCUACCUUUCUUGGGAGACAAAAACCUCUAGAUGGCUCCAUGAAUUACAGAGAGACACUAGUAUGGCAUCCAUAUAUUUUAAAUUAUACCAAGAGACUAGGUUAUUACAAUGACAGGACAAUGAGCUCUAUCAUGCUGGCCAAGAAAGACUUCAGCAUUUGAUGGGGAAAUUCCAGGCUACUAGAAACUAAAAUCCGUGAGAAAAGCAUGAACCUAAUUUUUUUUCUUAAUUUAAUAUAAAAAGAAAAGAUUACCUCCAAAUGAAAGUUGCAGCCUGAUGUCCAUAGCUUUAGUUUGAAUAGACUUAGUUGAAAUAACCUGGGUUUAUGCCAUCAUCAAGAAUCAAUUGGUUAACUGGAUCCUGUAAUCUUGGCUGUCUGAAUUGAUAUUCAUUUUCUCUUUGGUUUAGGUAAGAAUACUAUAACUUUGGGAAGGUUUUUAAUUAAGAACUGCUAUAAUUUUAGAAUGUAUAGAAGGGUAUUAUCAUAAUAAAGAAAUGUAGGGAACAAACUGGUUAUCAGUGGGGAACAAGGAAGGGGAAGGGACAAGACAGGGGUACGGAAUUGAUGCAAAAACUACUAUGUAUAAAAUAAAUAAGCUACAGGGAUAUAUUGAACAGCACAGGGAAUAUAGCCAAUACUUUUAAAUAACUUUAAAUGGAGUAUAAUUAAUAAUAAAUAUUGAAUCACGGUUGUACACUGGAGCUAAUAUACUGUAAAUCAACAAUAUUUGAAUAAAAGAAAAUAAAACAAUAAAUAAAUAGGGGUGAAAGUAAGAUGACACGACAUUUUAGGAACAGGUUUAGGUAUAAGUAGAGUAACUUUUUUGGUAAUAAAUAUAUUUGCGUAUAUUUUGUUUGUUGUCUGAUGUUUUGAAAUGCUCAGAAGCUUGUCAACUACAACAGGGAGUUGAAGUAUAUCUCUUAAAAUGACACUCUGAGGAUUUUUUAUGACUCUUUCAAUGUUACUUUCUAAUAGUUUCAGGAGCAAAGCCAGUUCAUGAUGGGUUGAGGAGUAAAUAGAACUGGAUUGGGACUAGGGUAAGGCAGGUGAGGAAUUCCCCUCGGGAAGCAAAAUGUAAGGGGGUGCUGAAACACCAAGUAACCAAAAUUAAUACUAUUUUAAGGCAGUAUUUUAAAAUAUUCAAAAUCAAUGCAAAAAAAAUACGAUGAGCAAUAUUUCAACACUAAAUAUUGAGAGAGUGGAAAUUAAGAGAAUGUGGACAGUAAGUACACACAGUGGGUUCUUUUUCUGAAGCUGUGUGCAAGAAAGGAGAGACGUUAGGGAACCCAGAGUCCAUGGAGGUGAGCUGGCUUGCUGGUUGGUUGAAGAUGGAACAUAUUUAUAUGAAGAUGGACCAUAUUUAUAUGCGGAAGAGGGGACCUAAGCCCAUUCCUGUCUCAUCAGGCUUUGUAAUAACAGGGAGGUACAGGAUUGGGGCAUCCCAGAUGGAGAUACAGGGCCAGUCAUUUCUUCCCAUGUGCAUAGUAUUGGGGUGUGGGGCAAGGGAAGCAUUCUCAUGGAGGAGCAGGUGUCCUACCUCAAAUGGCAAGAGAUUCUGUCCUCGUAGGUGGUGCAGAUUCCUUAUCUUUUUUUCCAGGCUGUGGUGAUGUGAUGAGCCUCUCAGGAUAACCUCACACACCACAGUCCUCUCUGCCCGAUUAAGCUAACUACCAGGAAUUUCUGCCCCAGGCCCACUUCUCCCCAUCCCCCACCCCCUCUCCUUUCAUUUUGCUGGGGGAACACUAGGGAGUGGAAUGGGGAGAGAAACCCUACACCUUGUUAUUGGAAGUGCAUUCUGGGGGCCAGCAGCAUGGGCACCACCUGGGAGGUUGCUAGAAAUGCAGACUCAGUCUCCGCCUAAUUGAAAAACACCACUUCUACAUCUAGUCUGAUACUUGCUAUAUAUUGCAGACACCUGGGGUUCUCUGGCAAUUGUGAACACCUGGUAUUCACCCACCCACUUCCUAGAUCCUGAUUUAAUUGGUUGAUCCCACCACCACCCCCACACCCCGCAGCAUGGCCUGGGUGUCAGAAUUUUUCUAAACUCCUCCGUGGUUCUAAUGUGUAGCAAUGCAGCAAAGUUUGAGAGCCACUAUUUUACGUCUCUGGCGGUUCCACCUUCUCAGUCCGCUUUUUGGCAUCUCUGCUGCCAUUUCCAGGCAGCUGGGGGAGGGCAGAGGAGAAAAGAUCAUUUCUUCUGCCUUUGACUCAGGAUCAUAGGCAGAUUGGCAAUACUGGAUGAUUUUCCUUCAAAGGAUCUGUGCCCGAAGCUGGUCCACAGACCAGCCCAUCAUUUAUCUGGUAAGUAUAUUAGCAGCAGGUUCUGUGUUGUCUCUAGUGCUGGGUUCCCAGAACGUGUGUCCAUGCAGGAGUCUGUGCUCAUCUCUUAGCAUCUCCCUUUGAAAUUCCGAUAAGCCCUCCAGGUUGGAAUGGCCCUUGUGUAUUGGGCCACAACUCUUUAGCUUUUAUUUUCAAACUUCAAAGUUUAGUUUUGAAAUAAAAGGUGUAUUUCUCCACCUAAGCCAACAAUAUUUUUCCCCAGGUGAAAGAGACAGAUUUAAGCUUAAUCAACUGUUUUGGAACUUUAUUGGUGUCAGCCAGUUGGCUGUGUUCUCUGAGAGUGCUUCACAACUGCUACAGCUGAAUGUUUGCCUUAUUUUUGAUCUUUGAAGUAGAACAGCAGCUUUGUUCCACUAAGCCUGAAAUUAACAGUUGAAGUCAGGAUGUAACUACUUUGAGGCCUCCUUUCUUUUCAGGAAACCAAAUAUAAUUAUUUGAUCUAAUAACCAAUAAUAUAAACCUUAAAAUAAAAAGGAGUUCCCACUGUGGCACAAUGGGUUAAGAACCCAAGGUUGCAGCAGUUGCAGCAUAGGUCGCAUCUACAGCUUGGAUUAAAAAAAAACAAGGAGUAGAAGGGAGGAAGGGAAGUGAAAAGGAAGAAGAUUCAGAGACAGACACAACAGCUUCAGUGAGAGACUUUGGGAACAGCACUAGCAUCUAGUAGGAUUUUUUAAAAUUUAAAGACAGAAUGUAUUCUCUGAUAGUUUACUCAUGCAAACUGCACAUAAAAUAAAACAGCACAGUUUGUGUAACAUUGCAAAUACAAGGACUCAAAACACUAGGUCCAGAAGUAGUGUUCCAUCCUGAAAGUCAAAAUGCAAUGUGUGUUUAUGCACUAAUAAUGAUUUUUAUUUGCUGAGUACAGACUAAUUUACUGAUUUAUUACCUUGGUAAUACGCUUAUCAACUGUUUACAUGACUUCUUACAUUGCAUAGUUUUAUUUUUCAGUUGCAAGAACUCCUGUUACAAAAGAACUUUAACUUGUGUAAAUAAUAAAAU
rnacentral:lncRNA from 1 species